UAAGAAUUUAAAAGUCGAACAGACUUAUUACUAAGAACUCUACCUCUUAUAAUUUUCUUAAUUCAACAUCGAGGUCGCAAAAUAUAAUAUAGAUAUGAACUCCCCAUUAAAAUUACGCUGUUAUCCCUAAGGUAACUUAAUCUUAUUAUCCUAAAGUAUAAACAUACAUAGGGAUCUAAAAUUACACAAAUUAAUGAAUUUUUAAACUAAAGUUAAAUUAUUUAGUUACCACCCCAGCAAAAUAUAAGUUAAUAUUAUCAAAUAUACAAUAUAAAAUCUAAUAAAACAAAGUUAUAUAAAGUUCUAUAGGGUCUUAUCGUCCCAAUAAUUUAUUAAAGCAUUUUGACUUUAAAUUUAAAUUUUAAUAUUUAAAAAAAUAAAAUAUAUUUCUCAUACAUCCUUUCAUUCAAGCUUCCAAUUAAGAAACUAUUUACUAUGCUACCUUUGCACAGUCAAAAUACUGCAGCCAUUUAGAAAUCUUUCCAUAGGGCAGAAGGUACUUUUUAUAAAAACA
rnacentral:rRNA from 1 species